UUUACUAUUGCUAUUAUGCAGAGAGACACAGGAUCCUCAAUAUUAUGACUGAUUCUUCCUGUGUUGUUCAUAUAAAUUUCAUGAAAGGAAGAGGAAGGAUAUGGGUGGAAAGUACAACAAUGAAAGACAUUUCAUGGUGUUCUGGGAAACUUUAUCCAUUGAAUAAAAUGAAUAAGACAAUUAUAA